rnacentral:rRNA from 1 species
UGAAACAGCGGGCCCAGAUUCCUACGGGGGGCAGCAGUAAGGAAUAUUGGUCAAUGGGCGGAAGCCUGAACCAGCCAUGCCGCGUGCAGGAUGACUGCCCUAUGGGUUGUAAACUGCUUUUGUCCGGGAAUAAACCUCUUACCGAGUAGGGAGCUGAAUGUACCGGAAGAAUAAGGAUCGGCUAACUCCGUGCCAGCAGCCGCGGUAAUACGGAGGAUCCGAGCGUUAUCCGGAUUUAUUGGGUUUAAAGGGUGCGUAGGCGGCCUGUUAAGUCAGGGGUGAAAUACGGUGGCUCAACCAUCGGCAGUGCCUUUGAUACUGACGGGCUUGAAUCCAUAUGAAGUGGGCGGAAUAAGACAAGUAGCGGUGAAAUGCAUAGAUAUGUCUUAGAACUCCGAUUGCGAAGGCAGCUCACUAAGCUGGUAUUGACGCUGAUGCACGAAAGCGUGGGGAUCGAACAGGAUUAGAUACCCUGGUAGUCCACGCCCUAAACGAUGAUAACUCGAUGUUGGCGAUAGACAGCCAGCGUCCCAGCGAAAGCGUUAAGUUAUCCACCUGGGGAGUACGCCCGCAAGGGUGAAACUCAAAGGAAUUGACGGGGGCCCGCACAAGCGGAGGAGCAUGUGGUUUAAUUCGAUGAUACGCGAGGAACCUUACCCGGGCUUGAAAGUUAGUGGAGGAUGCAGAGACGCAUCCGUCCUUCGGGACACGAAACUAGGUGCUGCAUGGCUGUCGUCAGCUCGUGCCGUGAGGUGUUGGGUUAAGUCCCGCAACGAGCGCAACCCCUAUGUUUAGUUGCCAGCAUGUUAUGGUGGGGACUCUAAACAGACUGCCUGUGCAAACAGUGAGGAAGGUGGGGACGACGUCAAGUCAUCAUGGCCCUUACGUCCGGGGCUACACACGUGCUACAAUGGACGGUACAGCGGGCAGCUAGCUGGCAACAGCAUGCUAAUCUCUAAAAGCCGUUCACAGUUCGGAUCGGGGUCUGCAACUCGACCCCGUGAAGUUGGAUUCGCUAGUAAUCGCGUAUCAGCAAUGACGCGGUGAAUACGUUCCCGGGCCUUGUACACACCGCCCGUCAAGCCAUGAAAGUUGGGGGUACCUAAAGCAUGUACCGCAAGGAGC